GACAGGGGGCUCGAGCGUUAAUCGGAAUCACUGGGCUUAAAGGGUGCGUAGGCGGGCACGUAAGCGUCGUGUGAAAUCCCCCGGCUCAACCGGGGAACAGCACGGCGAACUGCGUGUCUUGAGGCGGAUAGAGGCCGUCGGAACGCUAGGUGGAGCGGUGAAAUGCGUAGAGAUCUAGCGGAACGCCGAAGGUGAAGACAGGCGGCUGGGUCCGUCCUGACGCUGAGGCACGAAAGCGUGGGGAGCAAACGGG
rnacentral:rRNA from 1 species